ACAUGUGUCCAUACACGGAGCACGGGCUCUCGCCUCCUCUCUCGCUCGCCGCCGCCACCACCCACGUCGGCCGCUUCUCCGGUGACCUCCGGUGCCGUGCAGCACGCCCCGAGCUCCCCACGGUCCACGCCUCCCUCCCCUCCGGCCAGAGUCUCCGCUCCCGUCCUCUACCGCCCGCUCGCAAGCCCAUCCCCCAUGGCUAGGGUUUCGGGUAGGGCUUCGCAGCCGCGUCUCCGGCUGCCCCAGGGGAUAAACAAGGGGAGGUAUAGCAGGGCGUUGGACAUUUGCGGGAGUGGGGGAGAUCGAUGA
rnacentral:rRNA from 1 species